CUGGCACCCACGGUGCUCCGGUUUCCAGAAAGAAUCACGAAUACCCUUCCUGUGCAGAUAAAGGAACAAUUGUACUACAGGAGAACUUACUGGAAAGUAAUGUGGGGUCACCAGGAAGGAAAAGGAAUUCACUCCUCAGUCACAGUCUUCAGUCUGGUUGGGAGUCACUCAGACUUGGAAAGGUGUACUCUGAUCCUUCUGAGGUCUUGGACUGCAUUAACCAACCUGGGGAUGCCCCGGAGACUUUAACUCGUUACCACCCCUUGCAAGUUCACCUCACCACACGCGGCUAUGUGAAGCCCCAAGCUAAGGCUGCCAGCAGCUGUAAGCAAUAUGGUCUGCGUCGUUGCUCAUGGCAGGAACUUUGAGCUGGGACACAGUUUCACUCCGUAGAUGUAUUUCUCCUCUGAGGGAAGCCUAACACCCGAGCUGACCUUGCCCCCUUCUGAAAGGGAGGACCAUAUCUCACAGUGGCAACAGGAGGCUGCAGGUGCCACUCCAUAAGCUGCAAAGGGAGAUUUUGGCCACAAGGAGGACCGAGCAGAGACCUGAAGAUGAAAACACGGGUCUCCAUGAAGAGUGUGCCCGCUUACACACCCUUGGGAGAAGGGAGAAGUAAGUCCGGAAGGAUCUUAGUGGGUGAAGGAAGAGAAGGCGAGCUUAGUGGGCCACCCUUCACAUGCAACUCAACACUGCCUGAACUUACAAGGCUGGUUAUCAAGACUGACAUUAAUUCAAAGGUCCCUUAGAAGCCACAUGCACUUCUAGCAAGACUGCCUUCUGCUCUGUUUCCAUGCCUGGAGGCAAUGGGGGCUGGCAGUGAGUUUUGGGAAGGAGGAGACCCUUCUAGCUUGCUUUCGGAAACCUCAGGAUGCCUGGAAGAGACAACCAACCUGUCAGGUCUUUGUGCCCACGCCCAUGCUCUGAUCUCUCCCUAUCAGUCAUCCUUCUUCCUCCUUUUCAGCAGCACUUUAUUUCAAGGAUCUAUUAGGAAGGAAGUAACAGAAGGAAGCUAACAUGUAUAGAACAUAUGCUGAUAUUAGAUUUUGUUCUCUCAUUUAUGCCUUCAACACAUCACCUGGUCCUGCCCUCUCAACCUUGACAGCAUCCCCAGAAUGUAGCUGCUGCUGCCCAACUCACACCACCUCCAGGCCAAGCCACUACCACCUCCCUCCUGGAUUAGUGCCUUAGCCUCCUUAAUGGACUCCCUGAUUCUGUCCUUGCCUUUGCAGUUUAAUCACAGCAUGAGAGCUAGGGUGAUUCUUUUACAACAGAACUCAGACCAUGUCUUGCCUUUGCUUAGGAUGUGCAGAAGGUCCAUCUCAUGCAGAGUAAAGCCUGAAACCCUUCUUUCCACUGGCUUACAAGACCCUACAUGAUUCUCAGCUGUCUGGACAGUCUGACCUUA